CACAAUGGGGGAAACCCUGAUGCAGCCAUGCCGCGUGUGUGAAGAAGGCCUUCGGGUUGUUAAAGCACUUUCAGUAGGGAGGAAGGUAGUGUAGUUAACACCUGCAUUAUUUGACGUUACCUACAGAAGAAGCACCGGCUAACUCCGUGCCAGCAGCCGCGGUAAUACGGAGGGGUGCGAGCGUUAAUCGGAAUUACUGGGCGUAAAGCGCAUGCAGGCGGCCUGUUAAGUCAGAUGUGAAAGCCCGGGGCUUAACCUCGGAAUUGCAUUUGAAACUGGCAGGCUAGAGUCUUGUAGAGGGGGGUAGGAAUUUCAGGUGUAGCGGUGAAAUGCGUAGAGAUCUGAAGGAAUAUCAGUGGCGAAGGCGGCCCCAUGGACAAAGACUGACGCUCAGAUGCGAAAGCGUGGGGAGCAAACAGGAUUAGAUACCCUGGUAG
rnacentral:rRNA from 1 species